UGCGACUGUGGAAAAGGUUUGGAAGAUUUUUCAUUGUAAAUGGAUUGUAGUGAAUAAACUCCUUUUUGAAUGUACUUGGACAUUAAAUUGCCGAGAGACUGUGCCAAAGAGCCCAACAAUAGUGGGAAUAUCUCUCUGUUUGCUUAAUGAGCAAUGAAUGGAAGUGUGAAGGUGAAAAGACAGAUUCUGGGUGAGGGAGUGACAAGGCAGUGAAGUCUAAAUGGUAAAUUAGUGACAUCUUCAUUAUUAUGGCAGCAGAGUGCAGUGCCGUCUGAAUGCUAUUCCCUGUAGGAGCGAGCAGAAGGAGAAGCUACGAUGGAAGCGAAAAUGAUCGUAUUCUAGUAUAAAUAUCUGAAAACAUAGCCAAAAACUGCUGUGCAGCUCUCCUGCUUUUCCUGUCGCUUCGUUUUACCAGCUACGUGUGAGCAGGAAGGAAAACAUCUUGAAGAGCAUUCACUGGCUUCAACAGCAUCCUCCUUUCUUGAGACGCAGCUGAUUUUAUCAAUAGCAGCCGAGCCACGCGGCUGGAAAUAGGCACUGGUAUUUCAGAGAGCUCAGCUCACUGAGGGGGUGGACUCUCCGUAUUUAUAAGGAACUCUUCCAUCGCUGUUCGCACCUUCCUUGGGAAAAAAGGCUGCCAGUAAAAACGCCCCAGAGCUUACCAGACAGUGCGAGCCAGACACUGCAGUGAUUUGCUGCUCUUCCUUUCUUGUGUGAAGUGGGGGAAGCCUUUCAGUGUUGGAUUGUUUAUUUUGUUUGGUGGCAGUUGCCCCCCCAAAAAAGGGGGAGGGGGUAUCUUAAAUAAUAUAGUGGUUCAGGCAGCUUGAAGGUGUUGAAGAGAGCUGCUUGAAAUCAGUUUAUAGCAAGGUUUUAAAUUGUGGUUUUGGCAAAUCCAGAGCGGCAGGUUCAUUUCCCAUCCCACAGAGGUUGCCUCUGUGCUCCAAGUUCGCCCCCAAACUGAACGUGUCUGUGAGUGUCAGACCAACCUGGGGACACUUGCCAUUUGUGGAGCAAAACUGAGGGACUCUACCGUUCUCCCCUCUCUUUGCCCCCUUCCUUGAUCCCCAUGGGCACACUGCUGUAGCUUCUGAAGCCUGUGCUGGAGCACACCUCUGCACUUGUGCUGGAAAGGGAUGUUCACAUCGGGACUAUUUCUAAUGGGAACCUGGCCCUUCCAGGCAGGAAUUGGAGGUUUUAUCUCUGUCACUGCUUGAUGUCCACAAAAAAAUUUGUGCAUGCAUUCAGGGGAGCUCAUUUGCAAAAUUUGGGUUCUAGUUUGCUCUGGGACAGGUAACAUGUCCUAUAAAUUUUCUACCUGAAGGAUUUAUUUGAUUUUUUUCUUUUUUUUUUUUGUUAGAGAUUUUAUUUUAAUCAGACUUUAAUAUUGGGCAGCUUGAACAAAGCUCUAGUUUGUACCCAGAAGAACAACAAACCAACAAAUAAGGUAGAAAGAAAACAACUGUUCUUUAUAAGGGGGAAGAUCCUCGUGCCUGAAGUGUGACACAGCAUUGUAAUUUGCGUGGCUCUGUCUGAGCGCAGUGCUGGUGUGCCAGUCUCCCAGGGAGCAAAACCACCUAUUCUUAAGCAAACAAACAAAGGCCUCCUCAGGAGUGAUAUCAGCUACCAUUUUGCUUUCCUGCCCCAGGAUCUCAUUUUUAAGGGGCGUGUUUUUCAUUUUUUCAUUUUC